rnacentral:rRNA from 1 species
AUUGAACGCUGGCGGCAGGCCUAACACAUGCAAGUCGAACGAGUGGCGGACGGGUGAGUAAUGGUUGGGAAACUGGCUGAUGGAGGGGGAUAACUACUGGAAACGGUAGCUAAUACCGCAUACCAUCGGAUGAGCCCAGGUGGGAUUAGGUGGUUGGUGGGGUAACGGCUACCCAAGCCGACGAUCCCUAGCUGGUCUGAGAGGAUGACCAGCCACACUGGAACUGAGACACGGUCCAGACUCCUACGGGAGGCAGCAGUGGGGAAUAUUGCACAAUGGGCGCAAGCCUGAUGCAGCCAUGCCGCGUGUAUGAAGAAGGCCUUCGGGUUGUAAAGUACUUUCAGCGGGGAGGCGUUACCCGCAGAAGAAGCACCGGCUAACUCCGUGCCAGCAGCCGCGGUAAUAC